UCAUGAUUGUCAUUGUAAUUGUUUCGCAUAGCUAAAUGCUUCAUGAAGGGAAAAUGACCAUAAAAUGGGUUUGCUUGAUUUUCAUGGUAGUGCACUAAACCAUUUCUGUGAGUCACUCACUGAUAUCAAUACCAUAUGAUGAGUUGUCAUCAUGUAUGGCUAAUGAUUAGAAGUUAGACAUGAAUAGGUAUCGUCCUCACCUAAAUUUGGAUGUGCACAUGUCUGUUUCAGAAAGAAAGUUAAGGACAGUAGAAGAUGAGCACAUAAGCUCAGGCAUAGCAGUGAUUUUAUAUCUACGUUGAUUGCAUCUGUUGGAAAAAUGGAAAAUUUAUUUAACAUUUGAUUUUAACUGAAUAGUCGUAUGUGUAAUAUUUUUCAAAUGCAAUCAUUGAUGUUGUAAAAUCUUUGAGAGUUGACUUGGCAUUGUUGUAAUCAUUGUAAAUUUUUUCAUUUUCUAAC